CCUACGGGGGGCAGCAGUGAGGAAUAUUGGUCAAUGGACGAGAGUCUGAACCAGCCAAGUCGCGUGAAGGAUGACUGCCCUAUGGGUUGUAAACUUCUUUUUUAUGGGAAUAAAAUGUUCCACGUGUGGGUUUUUGUAUGUACCAUAUGAAUAAGGAUCGGCUAACUACGUGCCAGCAGCCGCGGUAAUACGGAGGAUCCGAGCGUUAUCCGGAUUUAUUGGGUUUAAAGGGAGCGUAGGUGGAUAGUUAAGUCAGUUGUGAAAGUUUGCGGCUCAACCGUAGAAUUGCAGUUGAAACUGGCAGUCUUGAGUACAGUAGAGGUUGGCGGAAUUCGUAGUGUAGCGGUGAAAUGCUUAGAUAUCACGAAGAACACCGAUUGCGAAGGCAGUUCACUGGACUGCAACUGACACUGAGGCUCGAAAGUGUGGGGAUCAAACAGGAUUAGAUACCCCUGUAGUC
rnacentral:rRNA from 1 species